rnacentral:other from 1 species
CGCUAUCAUCAUUAACUUUUAUUUAUUACCGUCAUUCGACUCUGAAUGUCCGUUUACCCCAAUUCUCGCCGAAUGCUCUGCAUUCGGCUUUUUUU